UACGUAGGGGGCGAGCGUUGUCCGGAUUUAUUGGGCGUAAAGAGCUUGUAGGCGGUUUGUCGCGUCUGCCGUGAAAAUCCGGGGCUCAACCCCGGACUUGCGGUGGGUACGGGCAGACUAGAGUGUGGUAGGGGAGACUGGAAUUCCUGGUGUAGCGGUGAAAUGCGCAGAUAUCAGGAGGAACACCGAUGGCGAAGGCAGGUCUCUGGGCCACUACUGACGCUGAGAAGCGAAAGCGUGGGGAGCGAACAGG
rnacentral:rRNA from 1 species